rnacentral:rRNA from 1 species
CCCGCUCAGAACUACAAAGAUGACGGGGCCCGCACAAGCGGUGGAGCAUGUGGUUUAAUUCGAUGAUAUGCGAGGAACCUUACCUGGGCUCAAAUGUAUGUUGACGUAUUCUGAAAGGGAUACUUCUUCGGACAAUAUACAAGGUGCUGCAUGGUUGUCGUCAGCUCGUGCCGUGAGGUGUCGGGUUAAGUCCCAUAACGAGCGCAACCCCUAUCAUUAGUUGCCAUCAGGUCAAGCUGGGGACUCUAAUGAAACUGCCUACGCAAGUAGUGAGGAAGGUGGGGAUGACGUCAAAUCAGCACGGCCCUUACGUCCAGGGCUACACACGUGCUACAAUGGCCGAUACAGAGGGCAGCUACCUGGUGACAGGAUGCAAAUCUCCAAAGUCGGUCUCAGUUCGGAUCGGAGUCUGCAACCCGACUCCGUGAAGUUGGAUUCGCUAGUAAUCGCGCAUCAGCCAUGGCGCGGUGAAUACGUUCCCGGGCCUU